AUUGAACGCUGGCGGCAGGCCUAACACAUGCAAGUCGAACGGUAGCACAGAGAGCUUGCUCUCGGGUGACGAGUGGCGGACGGGUGAGUAAUGUCUGGGAAACUGCCCGAUGGAGGGGGAUAACUACUGGAAACGGUAGCUAAUACCGCAUAACGUCGCAAGACCAAAGUGGGGGACCUUCGGGCCUCACACCAUCGGAUGUGCCCAGAUGGGAUUAGCUAGUAGGUGGGGUAAUGGCUCACCUAGGCGACGAUCCCUAGCUGGUCUGAGAGGAUGACCAGCCACACUGGAACUGAGACACGGUCCAGACUCCUACGGGAGGCAGCAGUGGGGAAUAUUGCACAAUGGGCGCAAGCCUGGUGCAGCCAUGCCGCGUGUAUAAAGAAGGCCUUCGGGUUGUAAAGUACUUUCAGCGGGGAGGAAGGCGGUGAAGUUAAUAGCUUCACCGAUUGACGUUACCCGCAGAAGAAGCACCGGCUAACUCCGUGCCAGCCGCCGCUGUAA
rnacentral:rRNA from 1 species